UACGUAGGGUGCAAGCGUUGUCCGGAAUUAUUGGGCGUAAAGAGCUCGUAGGCGGUUUGUCGCGUCGGCUGUGAAAACCUGGGGCUCAACCCCGGGCCUGCAGCCGAUACGGGCAAACUAGAAUUCGGUAGGGGAGACUGGAAUUCCUGGUGUAGCGGUGAAAUGCGCAGAUAUCAGGAGGAACACCGGCUGGCGAAGGCGGCGCUGGCG
rnacentral:rRNA from 1 species